GACGAACGCUGGCGGCGUGCUUAACACAUGCAAGUCGAACGGAAAGGCCCCUUUGGGGGUACUCGAGUGGCGAACGGGUGAGUAACACGUGAGUAACCUGCCCUUGACUUCGGGAUAACUUCAGGAAACUGGGGCUAAUACCGGAUAGGAAUCCUUGCUGCAUGGUGGGGGUUGGAAAGCUUCGGCGGUUUUGGAUGGACUCGCGGCUUAUCAGCUUGUUGGUGGGGUAGUGGCUUACCAAGGCUUUGACGGGUAGCCGGCCUGAGAGGGCGACCGGCCACAUUGGGACUGAGAUACGGCCCAGACUCCUACGGGAGGCAGCAGUGGGGAAUAUUGCUCAAUGGGCGGAAGCCUGAUGCAGCAACGCCGCGUGCGGGAUGACGGCCUUCGGGUUGUAAACCGCUUUCAGCAGGGGCGAAGCUUGUGGUGACGGUACCUGCAGAAGAAGCACCGGCUAACUACGUG
rnacentral:rRNA from 1 species